rnacentral:rRNA from 1 species
ACGGGUGAGUAACGCGUAGGUAACCUGCCUUGUAGCGGGGGAUAACUAUUGGAAACGAUAGCUAAUACCGCAUAACAAUGGGUGACACAUGUCAUUUAUUUGAAAGGGGCAAUUGCUCCACUACAAGAUGGACCUGCGUUGUAUUAGCUAGUAGGUGAGGUAACGGCUCACCUAGGCGACGAUACAUAGCCGACCUGAGAGGGUGAUCGGCCACACUGGGACUGAGACACGGCCCAGACUCCUACGGGAGGCAGCAGUAGGGAAUCUUCGGCAAUGGGGGCAACCCUGACCGAGCAACGCCGCGUGAGUGAUGACGGCCUUCGGGUUGUAAAGCUCUGUUGUAAGGGAAGAACGGUAGAUAGAGAAUACCUAAGUGACGGUACCUUACCAGAAAGCCACGGCUAACUACGUGCCAGCAGCCGCGGUAAUACGUAGGUGGCGAGCGUUAUCCGGAAUUAUUGGGCGUAAAGGGUGCGUAGGCGGCCUGUUAAGUAAGUGGUUAAAUUGUUGGGCUCAACCCAAUCCAGCCACUUAAACUGGCAGGCUAGAGUAUUGGAGAGGCAAGUGGAAUUCCAUGUGUAGCGAUAAAAUGCGUAGAUAUAUGGAGGAACACCAGUGGCGAAGGCGGCUUGCUAGCCAAAGACUGACGCUCAUGCACGAAAGCGUGGGGAGCAAAUAGGAUUAGAUACCCUAGUAGUCCACGCCGUAAAC